GCAGUAGCCGCGGUAAUACGUAGGUCCCGAGCGUUGUCCGGAUUUAUUGGGCGUAAAGCGAGCGCAGGCGGUUUGAUAAGUCUGAAGUUAAAGGCUGUGGCUCAACCAUAGUUCGCUUUGGAAACUGUCAAACUUGAGUGCAGAAGGGGAGAGUGGAAUUCCAUGUGUAGCGGUGAAAUGCGUAGAUAUAUGGAGGAACACCGGUGGCGAAAGCGGCUCUCUGGUCUGUAACUGACGCUGAGGCUCGAAAGCGUGGGGAGCGAACAGGAUUAGAUACCCCUGUAGUCCCUGUCUCUUAUACA
rnacentral:rRNA from 1 species